AUUGAACGCUGGCGGCAUGCCUUACACAUGCAAGUCGAACGGUAACAGGGAGCUUGCUCCGCUGACGAGUGGCGAACGGGUGAGUAAUGUAUCGGAACGUACCAUUCAGUGGGGGAUAACGUAGCGAAAGUUACGCUAAUACCGCAUAUUCUGUGAGCAGGAAAGCAGGGGAUCGCAAGACCUUGCGCUGAUUGAGCGGCCGAUAUCAGAUUAGCUAGUUGGUGAGGUAAAGGCUCACCAAGGCGACGAUCUGUAGCGGGUCUGAGAGGAUGAUCCGCCACACUGGAACUGAGACACGGUCCAGACUCCUACGGGAGGCAGCAGUGGGGAAUUUUGGACAAUGGGGGCAACCCUGAUCCAGCCAUGCCGCGUGAGUGAAGAAGGCCUCGGUUGUAAGUACGUACUUCGGUCCGGGUAAAACGGUAACGGUACGACGUCAGUUAAGUUACCUACGGUGUUGGUAGUGUAGUAGGUACGGAACGUUAAGAAAGACGAACCGGACCGUAACCGUAACGUACGUACCG
rnacentral:rRNA from 1 species